CCACAUCAUUAGGGGUGCCUUGUUUUAAAUAACACAAAAACGGGCUGAGAUCAUACCCAUUUUACGGUGAACGGUAAAAAGUGAAAGGUAAUAGGUUUUGCAUAAGCGAACCUAAACGCCAGGCUUUAAAACCCGAACCCUAAAUGCACCUGAUCCGGGUAAUGCCGGCGUAGGGAUUGGAGUUAUGGAAGUU
rnacentral:ncRNA from 1 species